UACAGAGGAUGCAAGCGUUAUCCGGAAUGAUUGGCGUAAAGCGUCUGUAGGUGGCUUUUUAAGUCCGCCGUCAAAUCCCAGGGCUCAACUCUGGACAGGGCGGUGGAAACCUACCAAGCUGGAGUUACGGUAGGGGCAGAGGGAAUUUCCGGUGGAGCGGUGAAAUGCGUAGAGAUCGGAAAGAACACCAACGGCGAAAGCACUCUGCUGGGCCGACACUGACACUGAGAGACGAAAGCUAGGGGAGCGAAUGGG
rnacentral:rRNA from 1 species